UACAGCCAUAUUACCUUGAAACAUCGAUUCCCGUACGACCACCGAAGUUAAGCAAAGUCGAGCCUGGUCAUUAUGUAGAUGAGUAACCGCUUGGGAAAACCAGGUGCUGUAAU